UACGAAGGGGGCUAGCGUUGCUCGGAUUGACUGGGCGUAAAGGGCGCGUAGGCGGUUCGUACAGUCAGACGUGAAAUCCUGGGCUCAACCUGGGGGCUGCGUUUGAUACGUGCGGACUUGAGUGCGGAAGGAGGGUCGUGGAAUUCCCAGUGUAGGAGGUGAAAUUCGUAGAUAGUUGGGAAGGACACCGGUGGCGAAGGCGGCGACCUGGUCCGAUACUGACGCUGAGGCGCGAAAGCGUGGGGGAGCAAAC
rnacentral:rRNA from 1 species